CUUGGUUAUGGAGAUAUGUACCCAGAGACCUGGUCAGGCAUGGUAGUGGGCGCUUUAUGUGCUUUAGCUGGUGUGCUGACAAUAGCAAUGCCUGUGCCUGUGAUUGUCAAUAAC
rfam:Oryzias latipes DNA, scaffold1087, strain: Hd-rR.